AGCAUUUUACGUAGGUGCUGCAUGGUUGUCGUCAGCUCGUGCCGUGAGGUGUCGGGUUAAGUCCCAUAACGAGCGCAACCCCUACCUUAGUUGCCAUCAGGUAAUGCUGGGGACUCUAAAGGAACUGCCUACGCAAGUAGUGAGGAAGCGGGGAUGACGUCAAAUCAGCACGGCCCUUACGUCCAGGGCUACACACGUGCUACAAUGGCCGAUACAGAGGGCAGCUACCUGGUGACAGGAUGCAAAUCUCCAAAGUCGGUCUCAGUUCGGAUCGGAGUCUGCAACCCGACUCCGUGAAGUUGGAUUCGCUAGUAAUCGCGCACCAGCCAUGGCGCGGUGAAUACGUUCCCGGGCCUU
rnacentral:rRNA from 1 species